UACAGAGGUCUCAACCGUUGUUCGGAUUCAUUGGGCGUAAAGGGUGCGUAGGCGGUCGCGCAAGUCGGAUGUGAAAACUCGGGGCUCAACCCCGGGCCUGCAUUCGAUACGGGCAGACUAGAGUACGGGCAGGGGGAGACUGGAAUUCCUGGUGUAGCGGUGAAAUGCGCAGAUAUCAGGAGGAACACCGGUGGCGAAGGCGGGUCUCUGGGCCGAUACUGACGCUGAGGAGCGAAAGCGUGGGGAGCGAACAGG
rnacentral:rRNA from 1 species